CUACGGGGGGCUCCAGUGAGGAAUAUUGCACAAUGGGGGGAACCCUGAUGCAGCAACGCCGCGUGGAGGAUGACGCAUUUCGGUGUGUAAACUCCUUUUAUAUGUCAAGGAAAUGACGGUAGCAUAUGAAUAAGCACCGGCUAACUCCGUGCCAGCAGCCGCGGUAAUACGGAGGGUGCGAAGCGUUACUCGGAAUCACUGGGCGUAAAGGACGCGUAGGCGGGUUGGAAAGUCAGGUGUGAAAUCCUACAGCUUAACUGUAGAACUGCACUUGAAACUUCUAAUCUAGAGUAUGGGAGGGGGAGAUGGAAUUAGUGGUGUAGGGGUAAAAUCCGUAGAUAUCACUAGGAAUACCUAAAGCGAAGGCGAUCUCCUGGAACAUUACUGACGCUAAGGCGUGAAAGCGUGGGGAGCAAACAGGAUUAGAUACCCGGGUAGUC
rnacentral:rRNA from 1 species